AUUGAACGCUGGCGGCGUGCUUAACACAUGCAAGUCGAUCGGUAACAGGUGUAGCAAUACAUGCUGACGAGAGGCGGACGGGUGAGGAAUAUUUGGGAAUCUGCCCAUCAGCGGGGGACAACCCGGGGAAACCCGGGCUAAUACCGCAUACGCUCUACGGAGGAAAGCCGGGGACCGCAAGGCCUGGCACUGAUGGAUGAGCCCAAAUCGGAUUAGCUAGUUGGCGGGGUAACGGCCCACCAAGGCGACGGUCCGUAGCUGGUCUGAGAGGACGAUCAGCCACACCGGAACUGAGACACGGUCCGGACUCCUACGGGAGGCAGCAGUGGGGAAUAUUGGACAAUGGGGGAAACCCUGAUCCAGCGACGCCGCGUGGGUGAAGAAGGCCUGCGGGUUGUAAAGCCCUUUCGGUAGGGACGAAAGCUCUUGCUCCAACAAAGCAGGAGGUUGACUUAACCUACAUAAGAAGCACCGGCUAACUCUGUGCCAGCCGCCGCUGUAAGAC
rnacentral:rRNA from 1 species